UAUAAAUUUAAGUAUUCCAAUCAACUUUUCACUAAGUCUUUUGGUGAUAUAGUGAUGAGCGUUUUUGAUGCAUUGGUUGCUUUUAAAGUAUUUAGUUUGAAGUCGGACAGUUUCUGGAUAGCCGACACCGUUGUCUCACUCAGCACUUAAAUGUCAUUGA